AUAUAUACCUGGCAGGGGAGACAUCUUGGUCACGAGAGAGGCUCACCUAGGAUGAAGCCCGGCCGUGCAGACCCCAUGCGAAUUCCCCAAACGUGGGAAUCUUGACUCCAUAAGUUAUGGUAGUGGGGAAUUGCGUCACGGUCUCCAC
ensembl:snRNA U1 U1 spliceosomal RNA